AGUGAACGCUGGCGGUAGGCCUAACACAUGCAAGUCGAACGGCAGCACAGUAAGAGCUUGCUCUUACGGGUGGCGAGUGGCGGACGGGUGAGGAAUACAUCGGAAUCUACUUUUUCGUGGGGGAUAACGUAGGGAAACUUACGCUAAUACCGCAUACGACCUACGGUUGAAAGCAGGGGAUCUUCGGACCUUGCGCGAUUGAAUGAGCCGAUGUCGGAUUUGCUAGUUGGCGGGGUAAAGGCCCACCAAGGCGACGAUCCGUAGCUGGUCUGAGAGGAUGAUCGGCCACACUGGAACUGGGAAACGGUCCAGACUCCUACGGGAGGCAGAAGUGGGGAAUAUUGGACAAUGGGCGCAAGCCUGAUCCAGCCAUACCGCGUGGGUGAAGAAGGCCUUCGGGUUGUAAAGCCCUUUUGUUGGGAAAGAAAAGCAGCAGGUUAAUACCCCGCUGUUCUGACGGUACCCAAAGAAUAAGCACCGGCUAACUUCGUG
rnacentral:rRNA from 1 species